UCCCCUAGUAACUGCGAGUGAAGCGGGAAAAGCUCAAAUUUAAAAUCUGGCGGUUCUUGUAGCCGUCCGAGUUGUAAUUUAGAGAAGCGUUAUCCGCGCUGGACCGUGUACAAGUCUCCUGGAAUGGAGCGUCAUAGAGGGUGAGAAUCCCGUCUUUGACACGGACUGCCAGGGCAUUGUGAUGCGCUCUCAAAGAGUCGAGUUGUUUGGGAAUGCAGCUCAAAAUGGGUGGUAAAUUCCAUCUAAAGCUAAAUAUUGAGGAGAGACCGAUAGCGAACAAGUACCGUGAGGGAAAGAUGAAAAGAACUUUGGAAAGAGAGUUAAACAGUACGUGAAAUUGCUGAAAGGGAAACGCUUGAAGUCAGUCGCGUCGUUCAGGACUCAGCCUUGCUUUGCUUGGUGUACUUCCUGUUCGACGGGUCAGCAUCAAUUUUGGUCGGUGGAAAAAGGCUUAGAGAAUGUGGCAUCUUCGGGUGUGUUAUAGCUCUGGGUCGCAUACAUCGGCUGGGAUUGAGGAACUCAGCACGCCGCAAGGCCGGGUACUUGUACCACGUACGUGCUUAGGAUGCUGGCAUAAUGGCUUUAAUCGACCCGUCUUGAAACACGGACCAAGGAGUCUAACAUGCCUGCGAGUGUUUGGGUGGAAAACCCGGACGCGUAAUGAAAGUGAAAGUUGAGAUCCCUGUCGUGGGGAGCAUCGACGCCCGGAGCAGACCUUCUGUGACGCAUCCGCGGUAGAGCAUGUAUGUUGGGACCCGAAAGAUGGUGAACUAUGCCUGAAUAGGGGUGAAGCCAGAGGAAACUCUGGUGGAGGCUCGUAGCGAUUCUGACGUGCAAAUCGAUCGUCGAAUUUGGGUAUAGGGGGCGAAAGACUAAUCG
rnacentral:rRNA from 1 species